UGAAGGUUGGGGCGGACGUGCCUCUCGCCAAUCCGGUCAGGUCCGGAAGGAAGCAGCCGUAACGAAUUCGGUGCGGGUCGUUCCAAUCUUCCCUU
rnacentral:SRP_RNA from 1 species